GCUGAUUGGUUUGUCAUUUUUUCUGUGCCGUGUUGUCCGAAACAUCCGAUUUUUGUCGCGCUUAAGUUGCUCGCUCGCAGUCGUGUUCCGCCGAUCAAUCCGGCAUACGUGAAGCGGUUUCCUUUAUUUCGAAGGUAGCGCAUUUAAUAAAAAUACAAAAUGUUCCGAAUGCCGGGUCUGCCUCCUACCGAUGCCGCGGAGGAAAAGCGAAAAGUGCGACGAGCUGUGCACCAGAACUUGUUUGCAUUCGUAACUCUCUGUGUUGCGAUAAGAAUAGCAUCAACAGUAGUUCAGCAAGGAUUGUUAUGAAUCGCAUCCUGAAUUAAUGGACGAUAUGUAAAGUCAUAUUUAGUUUCGAAUAAACCACCAAACCAACCAAA